rnacentral:tRNA from 1 species
GACUUUUUAGUUUAAGGAAAAUGUGGGUUUUGUAAACCUAAGAUAAUAUUAUAUUAUUAGUCU